rnacentral:rRNA from 1 species
AUAUAUAGCCAGCAGUUUGCUCUCAGCAAAUCAUAUGGUCGCCCACUGAAGCUAAGCAGGCCUGUGCCUGGUCAGUACCUGGAUGGGAGACCACAUGGGAAAGCUAGGUUGCUACUGGAA